ACUGGAUUAUAAUGCCUCGUGUAAUAAAUAUUCCUACACAAUCUGGACUUCUUUGAGGAUCAAUUUUACAUGUCAACAAGAGACGACAGAUGGAUGAAAACUGGGCAAUCAAAAAUUGGUAUCUGUGAUGAACACUUCUAAAACACCUCUGAGCUAUACAAUCUGCUGUGUUGACAAUGGCAGGGCAAGAGGAGGUGAUCUGCUGCCACCCUCGGUCCUCACCCGCAGUUGUAGGCACACACUCCAGAGACCUGUGAUCAAUGACAUCACGAGGAACAAUUAAUUAUUACUCGUAUAAUCUAUGUUAGAUCUUUCAUAACCAAAUAAUAUACCAUAUGAGAGUAUGAAAUCUUGGAUUCAUCUUCACAUU